AUGCAGGAAAAAGAAAAAAAGAAAAAACCUGUAGCAAAUAUUUAAUAAUUCAAUAUGUCAAGAGAGAGAAACUCUGGGAGUUUCAGAGAAAGAAAUCUCCCAUUGUUCUUCCACCGAUUCUCACUGACCCCCUUCCACCGAUUCUCUGGCCAUUCCAACCAUCCUUCUCACCAAUGCUCUUACCUACAGUCUUCUCUGGACAAACCCUCUCAUUUCGGAACGUUGGGCUCGAGACCGAGAACCUC
rnacentral:lncRNA from 1 species